rnacentral:lncRNA from 1 species
UUUACUCAUUCUAUGAUUCUACAAAUCAUGACUCAGAAAGCUACUGCCCUUGGCUGCUCUUCUGGGAUAUCAAAUCCCUCGCUGCUAUUUUUCACUGCUAUUAGCCUCUUCUCUUCAGAUGAGAUUGACAUCUUCCUCUCUUAACAGGGCCUUGUGAUAGUCCACACUUCCACUCCUCAGGCCUGUUGCUCAGCCCAGCCAGCGAUGACGUGUCCCUGGCAGUUCAAGCUUUUUCUCAUGUCAUUACAUUCCUCAAGGGAACUCUUCAAUGAUCCCCUUUUUUCCCCCCUUCCCUUCUAAUUCUUGCACUAUGGAUCCACUGGGAGUACUGGCACAAAGCUCCUGUCAAUCUACAACAGUCCCAUCCUUCAUGACUUGCUGGCCCAGCGGAGAGAACUACAGUGCUGCUUAUUUCAGGUACCAGUAACCUCCUCCUCCCUGUAGCCUUAUCAUGCCUGCUCCCCACACCAGUUGCCAACUGCUCCACAGAUACUGAGAUGCAGCCCGAACUGUAACUGCAUGUCUGGUUUGUGGAUGCACAGAAAUUCCUGGCACCUGUGUCCAAAUUUAACCAUUUUGCUGCUUUCUCUGCAGGAUUUGCAUCUCUCGUCCUGAAGCUGGAUGUCAAGCUCAGUGCAAGAAUCACUCUGAUGUUGUCUUCAUCAUAACUCUAGCACAAGAUUAGUCAAUUUACUGCAUGCUUACACACCACUUAAAAAAACUUCGGAGGGGAUAAUUCCUUCUAAACAGAAUUCUAUUAAUGACACUGUAUGAAUUGUGUAUAUUUAUGGUUAUCACACUGGAAACUUCCUGGGAAAAAAAAAAAAAAAAAUUACAACUGAUAUUUUAUAAGGGUGAGAGAAUAGCUUUGAUUGUGAAUUAAAACACCUAUUCAUGCUACAGCCAAGACAGUAAAGCAAUAAUUACAGCAGCGUCAGCAACCUGUGACUAUGUCUUAUUAAGUAAUUUAAAUGUUUUUAACAUAAAGUGUGCACUGAAAGAAAAGAACAUGUCCUGAGCCAAAAAUUAAAUAAAAGAAUAUACAGUGAAAGGGUAAAUAUUCUG